UGACGAGUCUUCUAUUUUUAGGGA
rnacentral:miRNA from 1 species